UGGGGAAUAUUGCGCAAUGGGCGAAAGCCUGACGCAGCGACGCCGCGUGUGGGAUGACGGCCUUCGGGUUGUAAACCACUGUCGGGAGGGACGAAGCUCUGACGGUACCUCCAAAGGAAGCACCGGCUAACUCUGUG
rnacentral:rRNA from 1 species